rnacentral:misc_RNA from 1 species
GAAAAGGAUGAGAUGACUGAGAAUGAAGUAACCACAAAUGAUAGCAUAAAAGAUGGGAAUGCACACCAUUCCACAAAGAAACAAAAAUUAAGUUCUUGUGUUGAACAGUCUGCACUGCAAGAACUUGGUGAUGAGGACUCCAAGGAUGCAAGAAGCAGUGAAAACAGCAAAGCAAGAUCAGGUAGCAGCAGAGAUUAUCAGAAAUGGCAGGAUAGUGUUGAGGAGGAAGUAGUUCAAGAUCGUGGUGCUAGGCUUACGCGGAGCAUCAAGAGGCAACUUGACGAAAAUGAACAUAAUUUCCGAAGAAAAGAACGUGAUCCUAGACAAGAGAUGGAAAGAAAUCACAUGGGAAUAAAAGGUAGGGAGGGUUCUUAUCCUUGUAGGGAUUUGGACCCUACCUUGGCCCCUCAUUUGCAUGUAAGAAACGAAGGUUAUGGUAGGCGAAAGGAACGAGAAAAUCCUGAUGGAGCUUGGCAACGGAGGGAGGAAGAUCUGCAUAGCAGAAAAAGUAGAACUGAAGACACAAGGAAGAGGGAACGGGGAGAUGAAUUGGGAUCCAGGCACAGAAGUAAGAUAUGGGAAGGUGAGAGAAGCGACAGAGAGGAAUAUCUUCAUUCAAGAAAAUUGUUGGACAAU